AGGGUUCGAUUCUGGCUCAGGAUGAACGCUGGCGGCGUGCUUAACACAUGCAAGCCGAGCGAAGCACUUAUGAUGAUUCUUCGGAUGAAUCAUUUGUGACUGAGCGGCGGACGGGUGAGUAACGCGUGAGUAACCUGCCUCAUACAGGGGAAUAACAGUCAGAAAUGACUGCUAAUACCGCAUAAGACCACAGCACCGCAUGGUGCAGGGGUAAAAACUCCGGUGGUACAGGAUGGACCCGCGUCUGAUUAGCUGGUUGGUGAGGUAACGGCUCACCAAGGCGACGAUCAGUAGCCGGCUUGAGAGAGUGAACGGCCACAUUGGGACUGAGACACGGCCCAA
rnacentral:rRNA from 1 species